rnacentral:rRNA from 1 species
UACGAAGGGGGCUAGCGUUGCUCGGAAUUACUGGGCGUAAAGCGCACGUAGGCGGCUUUCUAAGUCGGGGGUGGAAUCCUGGAGCUCAACUCCAGAACUGCCUUCGAUACUGGAGAGCUCGAGUCCGGGAGAGGUGAGUGGAACUGCGAGUGUAGAGGUGAAAUUCGUAGAAUAUUCGCAAGAACACCAGUGGCGAAGGCGGCUCACUGGCCCGGUACUG